rnacentral:rRNA from 1 species
AUUGAACGCUGGCGGCAUGCCUUACACAUGCAAGUCGAACGGUAACAGGUCUUCGGAUGCUGACGAGUGGCGAACGGGUGAGUAAUACAUCGGAACGUGCCCGAUCGUGGGGGAUAACGCAGCGAAAGCAGUGCUAAUACCGCAUACGAUCUACGGAUGAAAGCGGGGGAUCGCAAGACCUCGCGCGGACGGAGCGGCCGAUGGCAGAUUAGGUAGUUGGUGGGAUAAAAGCUUACCAAGCCGACGAUCUGUAGCUGGUCUGAGAGGACGACCAGCCACACUGGGACUGAGACACGGCCCAGACUCCUACGGGAGGCAGCAGUGGGGAAUUUUGGACAAUGGGCGCAAGCCUGAUCCAGCCAUGCCGCGUGCAGGAUGAAGGCCUUCGGGUUGUAAACUGCUUUUGUACGGAACGAAAAAGCUCUCUCUAAUACAGGGGGUGAAUGACGGUACCGUAAGAAUAAGCACCGGCUAACUACGUGCCAGCCGCGCCGUAACAC